UCCCUGGUGGCUCAGAUGGUAAAGAAUCUGCCUGCAAUGCAGAAGACCUGGGUUUGAUCCCUGGGUGGGGAA
rnacentral:tRNA from 1 species